UUAUUAGACUUUGGGAGACUUUUAGGUAGAAAAUAUGGAUAGAAUUUUCAAAGGAAAAUCUCUCAUCCAUCGAGAGAUUUCUCAAUUGAAGCCGGCUCUUCUAUUUCCUUCUAGGGUUCUCCUCCAUCUCCUUCAAUCGACGAUUCUCAGUUUGUGUGUGAUCAGUUUGGCUGAUUUUGUAUUUUGCCUGUACAAAAGAGAUCCAUAACGUGUUCUGGCCAGAAUUUCAGCCUUCAAAGGUCAAAGCCUGCAAAUUCCUGUUUUUGCACUUUGGGUAAUAUUUUAUUAUUACCUUUGGUUUUUAAUUUGCCUGCAUCCACAUGGGCUGUUCGGCCAGUUUAAUAAGAACUUGAUCAGUUUUGCUCAAAUGAAAGGGGCACUUUCAAGGGUGGUUGUUUUUGGCAAGCAACUUGUUCAGACUCCCCUUACAGAUCAGCUGCCUGUCUCGUCUAACUUCAGGCAAGCGCUUCACCAACCGGCUGCUUUGAUUCCCAGUCAAAGGUCUUCAAGCCAGCCUGUUUCGUCCUGCUUGAUGCAUUAUAUUUCAGGCUUCAGCUGUCUGAUUGUUUGGAUUCCAUCAAUAGUUUGAUAAUUCGUGUUCUAGAUUGGCCAAGUUUGUAAUAUUUUGAAUUAUAUUUCGUCACUUGGUAUGGAUCGCUAGAUUAUUAGAUCUUUGUAAUGUUCUGCUUUGAA